CACGUAGGGGGCGAGCGUUGUCCGGAUUUAUUGGGCGUAAAGAGCUCGUAGGCGGUUUGGUAAGUCGGGUGUGAAAACUCUGGGCUCAACUCAGAGACGCCACCCGAUACUGCUAUGACUUGAGUCCGGUAGGGGAGUAUGGAAUUUCCGGUGUAGCGGUGAAAUGCGCAGAUAUCAGGAGGAACACCGGUGGCGAAGGCGGGUCUCUGGGCCGUAACUGACGCUGAGGAGCGAAAGCAUGGGGAGCGAACAGG
rnacentral:rRNA from 1 species